UACGUAGGGUGCAAGCGUUGUCCGGAAUUAUUGGGCGUAAAGAGCUCGUAGGCGGUUUGUCGCGUCGGCUGUGAAAACCUGGGGCUCAACCCCGGGCCUGCAGCCGAUACGGGCAAACUAGAGUUCGGCAGGGGAGACUGGAAUUCCUGGUGUAGCGGUGGAAUGCGCAGAUAUCAGGAGGAACACCGGUGGCGAAGGCGGGUCUCUGGGCCGAUACUGACACUGAGAAGCGAAAGCGUGGGGAGCGAACAGG
rnacentral:rRNA from 1 species